UACGUAGGGCGCAAGCGUUAUCCGGAAUUAUUGGGCGUAAAGAGCUCGUAGGCGGUUUGUCGCGUCUGCCGUGAAAGUCCGGGGCUCAACUCCGGAUCUGCGGUGGGUACGGGCAGACUAGAGUGAUGUAGGGGGAGACGUGGAAUUCCUGGUGUAGCGGUGAAAUGCGCAGAUAUCAGGAGGAACACCGAUGGCGAAGGCAGGUCGUCUGGGCAUUAACUGACGCUGAGGAGCGAAAGCGUGGGGAGCAAACAGG
rnacentral:rRNA from 1 species